rnacentral:rRNA from 1 species
GGUCCCAAGGGUUGGGCUGUUCGCCCAUUAAAGCGGUACGCGAGCUGGGUUCAGAACGUCGUGAGACAGUUCGGUCCCUAUCCGUCGUGGGCGUAGGAAAUUUGAGAGGAGCUGUCCUUAGUACGAGAGGACCGGGAUGGACACACCGCUGGUGUACCAGUUGUCUUGCCAAAGGCAUCGCUGGGUAGCUAUGUGUGGACGGGAUAAGUGCUGAAAGCAUCUAAGCAUGAAGCCCCCCUCAAGAUGAGAUUUCCCAUUACGCAAGUAAGUAAGAUCCCUCAAAGACGAUGAGGUAGAUAGGUUCGAGGUGGAAGUGUGGUGACACAUGGAGCUGACGAAUACUAAUCGAUCGAGGACUUAACCAAAAA